rnacentral:misc_RNA from 1 species
CGUCGAAGGUGGGGCUGAUGACUGGGGUGAAGUCGUAACAAGGUAUCCGUACCGGAAGGUGCGGAUGGAUCACCUCCUAACAGGGAGACAAAACAAUGAUUUUGAUGUCUGAGUAUUUCAUUCUUAGGCCGAAAUCCUGUCACCUUAGGUCGAUCGGUACCUCAACAUUUUUCCAAAGAUUGGUGAGCAAUCAUCAAGAGAUUGGAAUGGAUGUUCAGUUCCUAAACUUUGUCUAGGUCACACCCCGCAAGGGAAGAGUCCCCUGGGCCAUUAGCUCAGGUGGUUAGAGCGCACCCCUGAUAAGGGUGAGGUCCCUGGUUCAAGUCCAGGAUGGCCCAUUCGGUGUUGGGGGUUUAGCUCAGUUGGUAGAGCGCCUGCUUUGCAAGCAGGAUGUCAGGAGUUCGAGUCUCCUAACCUCCACUGACAGAACUCAAUCUCCAUUGUCCGGUAACUCGGAGGAUGAACUCGAUGGCGUGUGAUUUAGAUGUGUCCACUAGAUAGGACCCUAGCUUCCUGUCAUUCCGAACAAGUAAUCAUUGCUUGAUUGGUUGAUAUGAUGCUGGGCUCAGAUUAAUCGAAAGAUUAAUUUGAUCUCUAGUAGAACCUUGACAACUGCAUAAGUAAGUCUGGAAAAACGAAGCAUCUUACAGAUGCAUUGUUUUAAAUCUGAAUUCUCGAAAGAGAGUUUGGAUCUAGAAUGAUGAAAAUUCUUUUAAGCAAGAGCCGAGACUCUUAGAUGUUCUUUUUAUCGUGUCGAGCGAUAAAGAGUUUGAUUUUGUUUUUAUGAGCAGUGAAAGUUGCUGAUGAAACCAGAAGAAUCUGCUUUCAACCGCAGUAAGCGUUUAAGAGGUUAAUUGGUCAAGCUACAAAGGGCUCAC